rnacentral:tRNA from 2 species
GCUCUGGUGGUGGAAUUGGUAGACACGCUGUCUUGAGGGGGCAGUGGCGCGAGCCGUGCGAGUUCGAGUCUCGCCCAGAGCACCA